rnacentral:rRNA from 1 species
UUUUCAGCAGCCGCGGUAAUACGUAGGGUGCAAGCGUUGUCCGGAAUUAUUGGGCGUAAAGAGCUCGUAGGCGGUCUGUCGCGUCGGCUGUGAAAACCCGAGGCUCAACCUCGGGCCUGCAGUCGAUACGGGCAAACUAGAGUGUUGCAGGGGAGACUGGAAUUCCUGGUGUAGCGGUGAAAUGCGCAGAUAUCAGGAGGAACACCGGUGGCGAAGGCGGGUCUCUGGGCAACAACUGACGCUGAGGAGCGAAAGCGUGGGGAGCGAACAGGAUUAGAUACCCCAGUAGUCC